rnacentral:rRNA from 1 species
UACAGAGGUCUCAAGCGUUGUUCGGAUUCAUUGGGCGUAAAGGGUGCGUAGGUGGCAUGGUAAGUCGGAUGUGAAAUCCCGGGGCUCAACCCCGGAACUGCAUUCGAUACUGCUGCGCUAGAGUACUGGAGAGGAGAUUGGAAUUACGGUGUAGCAGUGAAAUGCGUAGAUAUCGGAAGGAACAUCAGUGGCGAAAGCGACUUCCUGGACCAAUACUGACGCUCAUGUGCGAAAGCGUGGGAGC